rnacentral:rRNA from 1 species
UACGUAGGGUGCAAGCGUUGUCCGGAAUUAUUGGGCGUAAAGAGCUCGUAGGCGGUCUGUCGCGUCUGGUGUGAAAACUCAGGGCUUAACCCUGAGCUUGCAUCGGGUACGGGCAGACUAGAGUGCGGUAGGGGAGACUGGAAUUCCCUGGUGUAGCGGUGAAAUGCGCAGAUAUCAGGAGGAACACCGAUGGCGAAGGCAGGGUCUCUGGGCAUUAACUGACGCUGAGGAGCGAAAGCAUGGGGAGCGAACAG